rnacentral:misc_RNA from 1 species
UUUUUAUACAGUAUGCUUCUUUUACAUGGACUCAAUCUGCUUCAUUUAUCCAUCAUAAAGAAAAUCAUCUAAGUUACCCAUCCCGCUACUUAAAAGAGCAGACUUCAUCAAAAUUCACAAUGUUGUAAAUCACAAGGGGCAAGUAUGACGAAGAAGAGAGAUUAAAAAAGAAAAAGAAAAAGAUGGUCUUCAAGCUACACUUUAUAAAAUUUAGAACAGGAAUGGCUCCAUCAUAUUUGAUGGACAAAAAGACAGGGAAAUCUGUAAAUAUCUGCAAACAAAUAUGUUUUGAAAAACCCAUCCCUUCCUCUUCCUAGAAUGAUAUGAUGUUCUGUUUUAGCCAACUAGUAAUACUUCUAAUUCCCUAACAUGCAUUUUUUUCUAUUUUUCCUUGUCAAGAGUUUGCUGCCCUGCGAACUGCUAAACCAUAUCUUCCAGUUGCCGUCAACACCAAAUUCCAGCUUCGGCACACUUCACUGCCACCAAUUAAGCACCUUCAGUCUCGACCAUGACAAAUGCUUG